UACGUAGGUGGCAAGCGUUGUCCGGAUUUAUUGGGCGUAAAGGGAGCGCAGGCGGUUUUCUAAGUCUGAAUGUGAAAGCCCUCAGCUUAACUGAGGAAGAGCAUCGGAAACUGGAGAACUUGAGUACAGAAGAGGAGAGUGGAACUCCAUGUGUAGCGGUGAAAUGCGUAGAUAUAUGGAAGAACACCAGUGGCGAAGGCGGCUCUCUGGUCUGUUACUGACGCUGAGGCGCGAAAGCAUGGGUAGCGAACAGG
rnacentral:rRNA from 1 species